rnacentral:rRNA from 1 species
UACAGAGGUCUCAAGCGUUGUUCGGAUUCAUUGGGCGUAAAGGGUGCGUAGGUGGCGGGGUAAGUCAGGUGUGAAAUUUCGGAGCUUAACUCCGAAACUGCAUUUGAUACUGCCUUGCUUGAGGACUGGAGAGGAGACUGGAAUUCACGGUGUAGCAGUGAAAUGCGUAGAGAUCGUGAGGAAGACCAGUGGCGAAGGCGGGUCUCUGGACAGUUCCUGACACUGAGACACGAAGGCCAGGGGAGCAAACGGG